CUCCAAACAAGACCAGUGGGUACACAGACACCAUGCUGCAGUCUCGGAUGAACACGCGACUCGUUUUGAUCUUCUCGUGGUACACCAGAACAUAAGCUCCCUGAGGGCAGAGACCGUGUCUCCCUAGCUCAUCUGCUGUCCUUCAUGGCCUACAACAGUGCCUGGCACAAAGGUGGUGGCAGCAUCUGAAAAAUGGACUACAUUCACAGAGGAUCCAUUCCAAGAAGCCCACAAUUACUUUCAAGAUCUCUGCAAAGCAGUUAUAAAGACAGUGUUCCUAAGGAUCAGUGGAGAGAAAGAUUCUGGUUUGUGAAAUUUCCAGAAAGUAUUAACUGCACUAAGAGUGACAUCAGGUUCAUCUUGAAUUGUUCUUCCUAUAGUUAAAUAUAAAACUAUCCUUGGUUUGAAAAAGGCUGGUCUAAUUAAGAAGACAUUACUGGAAAGUCUGCUCUAUCUCUGAUGGACUCACCAAAAAUAAAUGUAAAUAAAAAACAGAAGCAACAAGAAGCAGAAAAACCCUUAUUUUUAUGAGUGUUAGUUGACAUUUGUGGAAAGAAGAAAAUCAAGAAUGCCACUAACCUAUUGCUCCUAGGGCUUAAGUGAAGAAGGCCUACAGGUAUUCCUCGGGUAAUAGAUUAAGGAUAUGAUCAUUAAAGAGAAAUAAG